UAGGGAAUCUUCCACAAUGGACGAAAGUCUGAUGGAGCAACGCCGCGUGAGUGAAGAAGGGUUUCGGCUCGUAAAACUCUGUUGUAAGAGAAGAAUGACAUUGAGAGUAACUGUUCAAUGUGUGACGGUAUCUUACCAGAAAGGAACGGCUAAAUACGUGCCAG
rnacentral:rRNA from 1 species